rnacentral:lncRNA from 1 species
ACCCACUACUUCUCCUCAUCCUCCUCCUUCUCCUCCUUCAAGCUUGUCUAUGAGCCCUUCCCUCCAUAUGGCUCCCUCCACCUCCAAUCAUUCUUUGUUGGUGACCCAUACAUCCCCCUCUCCUUCCUCAUUCAUUUCUCUUCCUCAUCCUCUUCCUCCUCCAAGCCACCCAUGAGCCAUCCCUUCUCUCUUCCUCUUCCUCCUCACCUACUUCUCCUCCUCCUACUCUUUCUCCUUCGCCCGUUUUUGAGCCCUACCCCUCUAUGGUGGCCCUCUCCACCUUCACAUCUUCUCAUGGCAACCUAUCCUUCUUCCUCCCCUUUCUCCUUACCCUCUCUUCUCCUUGUCCUCCACUCUUUUCAAGGCUGCCUGAUCGCUGUCGUAGGCGGUCAAGAAUAAAAACCAACUCAAACUAUAUAGAUAGGGUGAGUAGGGAUCG